GUAGGUGGCAAGCGUUGUCCGGAAUUAUUGGGCGUAAAGCGCGCGCAGGUGGUUCUUUAAGUCUGAUGUGAAAGCCCCCGGCUCAACCGGGGAGGGUCAUUGGAAACUGGGGAACUUGAGUGCAGGAGAGGAAAGUGGAAUUCCACGUGUAGCGGUGAAAUGCGUAGAUAUGUGGAGGAACACCAGUGGCGAAGGCGACUUUCUGGCCUGUAACUGACACUGAGGCGCGAAAGCGUGGGGAGCAAACAGGGAUUAGAUACCCUGGUAGUCCACGCCGUAAACGAUGAGUGCAAAGUGUUGGGGGGGUUUCCCGCCCCUCAGUGCUGCAGCUAACGCAUUAAGCACUCCGCCUGGGGAGUACGGUCGCAAGACUG
rnacentral:rRNA from 1 species